rnacentral:rRNA from 1 species
UACGUAGGGGGCAAGCGUUGUCCGGAAUCAUUGGGCGUAAAGAGCGUGUAGGCGGCCCGAUAAGUCCGCUGUGAAAGUCCAGGGCUCAACCCUGGGAUGCCGGUGGAUACUGUCGGGCUCGAGUCCGGAAGAGGAGUGUGGAAUUCCUGGUGUAGCGGUGAAAUGCGCAGAUAUCAGGAGGAACACCUAUUGCGAAGGCAGCUCGCUGGGACGUCACUGACGCUGAGGAGCGAAAGCGUGGGGAGCGAACAGG